GCUAAUAAGUGGUAUGUAACAUUAGUUAGGCAAAGUCUAUCUCCAAGAUGAAAAGUAGUCUAACUGUUUUCUUUGGGUAUUCAGUAUCCCUUAUCUUCCUCAAAUCCCUCAGUAUCAAUAUAUUCAGGGAGCCAAUGGCCAGAAAUGCCAAUAUAAUAGUGAUAUAAAUGCCAGGGCUGUGAGAGCAGUAAUUUAGCAGUGAAUAGUUCACCUCCUGAAUGAAAGCCACUCCACUACCAAUGAAGUAUAAGACCAACAAGGUUCAUAUUGGAGAACACUUCACUUCCUGGGAUGGGUAGAGCUGUAACAAAUCGUGGGUGGCCCAAAGCAUUUAUGAUAAAGAAAUGCACUUGGCUGGUAAUCCUAUCCACCACUCCAUCCAGCAGAGGGAUACUGUGGCAGAAACAUGCUCUGUACAAAAGAAGCAAGAGGAAAACCCCUUGAUUAGUAGCGCCUCUCAAACUCAAUCACUUGCGAAGAAAGGUGUAAGCGGACAUCAUCUCCAAAUUCUUAUCAAAGUCACACAUUGCUCCAAGGUCAUGCAUGAGGUAUCUUGAUUUGAACAAUAAAUUCUAGUCUUGGCAACAAGACCCAUAUUCGAUAAUAUAAAACAACUCACUGUACCACAAAAUGUUUUUGCACUGUGUAACAGCUGUUAAACACAAA